rnacentral:RNase_P_RNA from 1 species
AAGGAUGUUCGCGUGGCCGCCGCGGAGGCGAAAGCAGCGACGCGGAGGAAAGUCCGGACACCAUAGGGCAGGAUGCCAGGUAACGCCUGGGACCGCAAGGGACGGAAAGUGCAACAGAAAGAUACCGCCGACUGGCAUGAGCUUAGGCAAUUGUUUCAGGGUAAGGUUGAAAUGGUGCGGUAAGAGCGCACCGGUGGCGCAGUAAUGUGUCCGCCCGGCAAACCCCAUCCGGUGCAAAACCAAAUAGGGUUCGAGUAGCAUGGAGCAAUUCGUGUGAUGUGUGUCGGCCCGACACAAUAAAGAAUCGGGUAGGUUGCGCAGAAUCGGCUCGUGAGAGUCGAUCGAGAUGAAUGGUCACGGCGGUGGCGCAAGUCGCCGCACAGAAUCCGGCUUAUAGAAUGUCCUUUCGC